rnacentral:rRNA from 1 species
UACGAAGGUCCCAAGCGUUGUUCGGAAUCACUGGGCGUAAAGGGAGCGUAGGCGGCGUGGUAAGUCAGAUGUGAAAUCCCGGGGCUCAACCCCGGAACUGCAUCCGAUACUGCCAUGCUUGAGGGUUGGAGAGGUAGCUGGAAUUAUCGGUGUAGCAGUGAAAUGCGUGGAUAUCGAUAGGAACACUCGUGGCGAAGGCGAGCUACUGGACAACAUCUGACGCUGAGGCUCGAAGGCUAGGGGAGCAAACGGG